rnacentral:rRNA from 1 species
AUUGAACGCUGGCGGCAGGCCUAACACAUGCAAGUCGAACGAGUGGCGGACGGGUGAGUAAUGUCUGGGAAACUGCCCGAUGGAGGGGGAUAACUACUGGAAACGGUAGCUAAUACCGCAUACCAUCGGAUGUGCCCAGAUGGGAUUAGCUAGUAGGUGGGGUAACGGCUCCCCUAGGCGACGAUCCCUAGCUGGUCUGAGAGGAGGACCAGCCAGGCUUGAACUGAGACACGGUCCGGACUCCACCGUGAGGCAGCAGGGGGGAAUAUUGCACGAUGGGCGCGAGCCUGAUGCGGCCAUGCCGCGUGUAUGAAGAGGGCCUUCGGGUUGUAAAGUACUUUCAUCGGGGAGGCGUUACCCGCGGAAGAAGCACCGGCUAACUCCGUGCCAGCAGCCGCGGUAAUUC